GGAUGUGAGGGCGAUCUGACUGCAACAUCUGUCACCCCAUUGAUCUCCAGGGUUGAUUCUGCUGAUCUGGCUGGCUAGGCUGGUGCCCCCUUCCUCCCUCACAGCUCCAUGUACUCCCCUCCAGAAGCUGCGCCCUUGGUCAAAGAGGACAGCCUUCCCAAAUAGAGAUGGACUGGUCUUCAGUGGAGGGUAUAUGAAUAGCUGUACUCCCUUGCUAGAACCUCCAAACAAGCUCUCAAGAAAACAGAUUCCAGGGACCAAAUCAAAGCAGGUCACCCAAGUCAAGAAUGUCACCAGAGUGAACAUUGAUU
ensembl:misc_RNA 7SK 7SK RNA